rnacentral:rRNA from 1 species
UACGGAGGGGGCGAGCGUUAUUCGGAAUUAUUGGGCGUAAAGGGCGCGUAGGCGGCUUGACAAGUCAAAGGUGAAAUCCCUCGGCUCAACUGAGGAACUGCCUUUGAAACUGUCUGGCUUGAGGCCGGGAGGGGGUAGCGGAAUUCCCAGUGUAGCGGUGAAAUGCGUAGAUAUCAGGAGGAACACCAAUUGCGAAGGCAGCUCGCUGGGACGUGACUGACGCUGAGACGCGAAAGCGUGGGGAGCAAACAGG